UACAGAGGGUGCAAGCGUUAAUCGGAAUUACUGGGCGUAAAGCGCGCGUAGGCCGUCGAGUAAGUCGGAUGUGAAAUCCCCGGGCUUAACCUGGGAAUUGCAUUCGAUACUGCUUGGCUAGAGUGUGGAAGAGGGAAGCGGAAUUUCCGGUGUAGCGGUGAAAUGCGUAGAUAUCGGAAGGAACACCAGUGGCGAAGGCGGCUUCCUGGUCCAACACUGACGCUGAGGCGCGAAAGCGUGGGGAGCGAACAGG
rnacentral:rRNA from 1 species